AAGGCUUGACAUAUACCGGAAAGCAUUAGAGAUAGUGCCCCCCUUGUGGUCGGUAUACAGGUGGUGCAUGGCUGUCGUCAGCUCGUGUCGUGAGAUGUUGGGUUAAGUCCCGCAACGAGCGCAACCCUUGUCCUGUGUUGCCAGCGCGUAAUGGCGGGGACUCGCAGGAGACUGCCGGGGUCAACUCGGAGGAAGGUGGGGAUGACGUUACGGUCUUACU
rnacentral:misc_RNA from 1 species